rnacentral:rRNA from 1 species
UGGGGAAUAUUGCACAAUGGGCGCAAGCCUGAUGCAGCCAUGCCGCGUGUAUGAAGAAGGCCUUCGGGUUGUAAAGUACUUUCAGCGAGGAGGAAGGCAUUAAGGUUAAUAACCUUGGUGAUUGACGUUACUCGCAGAAGAAGCACCGGCUAACUCCGUGCCAGCAGCCGCGGUAAUACGGAGGGUGCAAGCGUUAAUCGGAAUUACUGGGCGUAAAGCGCACGCAGGCGGUCUGUCAAGUCGGAUGUGAAAUCCCCGGGCUCAACCUGGGAACUGCAUUCGAAACUGGCAGGCUAGAGUCUUGUAGAGGGGGGUAGAAUUCCAGGUGUAGCGGUGAAAUGCGUAGAGAUCUGGAGGAAUACCGGUGGCGAAGGCGGCCCCCUGGACAAAGACUGACGCUUAGGUGCGAAAGCGUGGGGAGCAAACA